rnacentral:rRNA from 1 species
CCUACGGGAGGCAGCAGUAGGGGAUCUUGCACAAUGGGGGGAACCCUGAUGCAGCGACGCCGCGUGGGUGAAGGAGCUUUUCGGCUCGUAAAACCCUGUCGGCAGGGAAGAAGAUGACGGUACCUGACCAAGCACCCCCUGCGAAGUCCGUGCCAGCAAGCGCGGUCAUACGUAGGGGGCAAGCGUUAUGCGGAUUUACUGGGUGUAACGUGGUCGCAGACGGCAAUGCAAGCCAGGCGUGGAAGCCCGGGGCCCAACCGCGGGGCGUCUUUUGGAACUGCAUGGCUGGAGUACAGUAGGGGAAGGCGGAAUUCCAAGUGUAGCGGUGAAAUGCGUAGAGAGUUGGAGGAACACCGGUGGCGAAGGCGACUUGCUGGACUGUGACUGACGUUGAGGUGCGAAGGCGUGGGGAGCAAACAGGAUUAGAUACCCCAGUAGUC